AUUGAACGCUGGCGGCAGGCCUAACACAUGCAAGUCGAACGAGUGGCGGACGGGUGAGUAAUGUCUGGGACCCUGCCUGAUGGAGGGGGAUAACUACUGGAAACGGUAGCUAAUCCCGCAUACCAUCGGAUGUGCCCAGAUGGGAUUAGCUAGUAGGUGGGGUAACGGCUCACCGAGGCGACGAUCCCUAGCUGGUCUGAGAGGAUGACCAGCCACACUGGAACUGAGACACGGUCCAGACUCCUACGGGAGGAAGCAGUGGGGAAUAUUGCACAAUGGGCGCAAGCCUGAUGCAGCCAUGCCGCGUGUAUGAAGAAGGCCUUCGGGUUGUAAAGUACUGUCAGAGGGGAGGCGGUACCCGAAGAAGAAGCACCGGCUAACUCCGUGCCAGCAGCCGCGGUAAUUC
rnacentral:rRNA from 1 species